UCAUAUCCUUGCUUGCUGGGCCAAAAUACACAAGUCGAAUCCUAUUUGGGCCAACUUGAUCCAGUCUGUUUAUUAACUUUCCUUCAGGCCAAACAAAAAAAACUCCUUGCCCAAGAAACGUGCUUGAUGCGUCCCUUUCAUUCUCAGCAAUAGAACAGUCGCGUCACUUUCAUUUUCAACCAAAACCAUGGAUAUUGAAAACAGAUUCUCAACAUUCAAAUUUCAAAUUUAAAACUCCCCCCCCCCCCCCUCUCUCUCUCUCUCUCUCUCUCUCUCUCUCUCUCUCUAAACACCAAAGUCACACACUUCUUCACUUGAUUAUCAAAAUUUUCCUCCAACCUAUUUCAAUACUCAUCCGAGUAUGAUGUUUUCAAGUAGGAGAAGAAGAAUCUGAAACAAAGAGGCAAAAAUAUGUGUUGGUUAUCACAAAUUUUGAUAACCAGUAUGAUUUGAUUUCAUAUUCUAAUCUGAUUUGGUAGAGACAUCAGUAUUAGCUUUAAAUUGAUGAAAUUGGAGGGAUUUUGUUGAUUUUCAAAGUUGGAAGGCAGACAAACAGGGUUGGGAGGCUGAAAGAAAGGAUUAGGAAGUAGAAAUACAAUUUGGAACCACUUAUGUGUUUGGAAAAAGAAGGGAGGUUGAGGUUUGCUUUAGGCCUUUGUAGUUGGCUUUAUUUGUGUUUUGUUGCCUUGGUGUUGUUAUGAGUUUUUCCUUUUUCUAUGUCGAUUUCGCAGCUGCUAUCUUUUAGGCUUUUUUUGCUGCUUUCGGUUUUGUUUUUUCCUUUUAAGUGCCAUUUUUCUUCUGGAUUAAUUGUUAUCUAACAUGAUUUGAUGAAUGACGUUUUUCAUGAACAUACCAAUAUUAUUAUAAAUGUGUUGCUACAAGUGCAAAUUAACUAUUUUAUGAAGAAACUAUUUUUCAGGUGCUUCAAAUAUGUUGUUAUAGGUUUGAAGACUUUUUUGUGUUUAUACUUUGUUACUAUAAUCAUGGUUCAAAUAUAUGAUUGGGGAUAUGCUUUUUAAGUUUUACCAAUCCCACUUUUGUUGUUUGCCUCAAACAAUUUUCGUUUCUGGCUAAAUUUGCAACCAUGUUUCUUCUUCCAUGGAAUUUUUAUGUUAUUUCUUAAAUAUAUACAUGAAUCAUUGUUCAAUAACACAAAAGUUUGAUAAAGAUUUAUUUGAAAAAAGGAGAUCCACAUGAUCAAAAGCAAUGACUCAAAAUAUAUUUGUGUUUUGUUCUUUUUACUUUCUAUGAUUCACAUGUUUUUAUAUCCUUCACAUUACUUGGAUCAAUAGCAGUCCAGAACAUCUUGAUUCCAAGAUUUUGAGAUUUGAGAAAUAUUGUAGAGUAAAUUCACAAGCAAAAUAACUACUAAAUUUACUGAAUUUUUAUUGUUCAAAAUGUAUCUUUUUGUUGUGUUUUUGGAUUUUGCCCCCUACCACACUUAAUAGUAUUGAGAGAUUGCAUGUCAAGGUGACAUAGUUCUUAAUCCUAAUAAGUAAAUGAUUUUUUUUAUAAGCAAAAAGUAAAUGAAUUAGUUACAAUGGCUGCUCAAUUAAUCAAGUGUUGGAGGUUGAUUUAUGGCUUUAGACAACUCAAGUGUAGCCUUAAUUGUUCACGCCUUAGCUGAAAAUCAUGUCUUGGUGUAUCUACUAUUAGCAUUCUAAUUUGUGUUGCCAAUAAUAACUUUUGCCUCUUCAACAAUUGACUUCUUUAGUCUUCUUUUUAUCUUUUAUGUUAAAAUUUUUGAUUUAGAUCCUUUUCUUGUGAGCUUAUGUCUAUCUUUGUAUUAUUUAAUAGAUGGAGUAGAUUGAGGUUCUAUUCAUCUUUUGCUUCUUUGGUAUGGUUUGUGCUCUAAUUAAAGAUGCACCUCAAAUGUUUGAGACAUGGCGUAUUUUAUUAAAUUGUUAAUCUCUACGUUUGUUGGUGAUAGGUUUUACAUCAAGUUUGAAAGAGAGUUCAAAUAAAUCAUGUUGGAGAGUCAAUCAAACUGAAGGCGUUGUCUGGAGCAUAGAGAAGUAUAAUGUCUCCUCUUAGGAACUUUCGAAGCCGUUGAUGUCUAUAGAAACAUACUUUUAUCAAGAGUUAUCAAUGUGAUGUGCAUUAGUAUCCACUAAAUUUUGUUGAUGUCUUUCAGGAUCUAUUGGUUAAAGUGGAUACAAGGUGAAGGGAAAUAUGGGAAUAACUUUCAAUAUCAAGCUUUCAAUAUUUCUCACUUAAUUAGACUAACUACAAUUUAAUAAUUCUAACUUCAUGUAUACAGAUAGAGUUAGCACAUACAUAAAAUAUGUCUGCUCAAUAAAGAUAUAUAGGCGUUUUGCCUUUCUUAAUGUUCGCCUUGAAUCUUGAAUGUAGUAAAUUUGUAAAAUAAAUGUGGUGUAUUUCUUCAAGUUGGGCAGGUUUCUUCGUGUUAUUGUUUGUUCCUUUUUAAUUAAUUGUAAUUGUAAUUGUUUGAAUCUCAUCGUCUGUCUACCUUGGUGAUUUAAUUCAAUUUGUGAAAUGUCAAUA